rnacentral:precursor_RNA from 1 species
AGUGUGGAUGUUUGAACUCAGUAGACUAGUGGUAAACGCGGAGCUGUUUGGCACGAGACGAACUGAGUUCGAGUCCCAGU